rnacentral:rRNA from 1 species
GACAGAGGGUGCAAACGUUGUUCGGAAUUACUGGGCGUAAAGCGUGCGUAGACGGUUAUUUAAGUCGGAUGUGAAAGCCCCGGGCUCAACCUGGGAAUUGCAUUCGAGACUGAAUAGCUAGGGUGCGGUAGAGGGAAGCGGAAUUUCCGGUGUAGCGGUGAAAUGCGUAGAUAUCGGAAGGAACAUCAGUGGCGAAAGCGGCUUCCUGGACCAGCACCGACGUUCAGGCACGAAAGCGCGGGGAGCAAACAGG